GACGAACGCUGGCGGCGUGCCUAAUACAUGCAAGUUGAGCGAUGAAGCUUGGUGCUUGCACCAAUUUGAAGAGCAGCGAACGGGUGAGUAACGCGUGGGGAAUCUGCCUUUGAGCGGGGGACAACAUUUGGAAACGAAUGCUAAUACCGCAUAACAACUUUAAACAUAAGUUUUAAGUUUGAAAGAUGCAAUUGCAUCACUCAAAGAUGAUCCCGCGUUGUAUUAGCUAGUUGGUGAGGUAAAGGCUCACCAAGGCGAUGAUACAUAGCCGACCUGAGAGGGUGAUCGGCCACAUUGGGACUGAGACACGGCCCAAACUCCUACGGGAGGCAGCAGUAGGGAAUCUUCGGCAAUGGACGAAAGUCUGACCGAGCAACGCCGCGUGAGUGAAGAAGGUUUUCGGAUCGUAAAACUCUGCUGGUAGAGAAGAACGUUGGUGAGAGUGGAAAGCUCAUCAAGUGACGGUAACUACCCAGAAAGGGACGGCUAACUACGUG
rnacentral:rRNA from 1 species